AGCGUCCUGCCGCUGCAGAAGGGAGGCACACACGUCCAAUGGAGGUGAGGAGCUCCAAGCUGCAGGGCGCUCCCGCCCUGCCUCCCGCCACCCCGACUGCCCUAGUGAACGGGCCCCGGAGCCUGCAAAGACGGCCAGGGGGUGAAAACACUGGUAUUUGAAGACUGCAGCAUCGGAACAUUCCGGGUCCGAGAACUUCAACAUCAUUACAGGAUGAAAUUCAGGCCAGACCACCUCUGAAGGGGACUGGGGAGCACCUGUCCUGCUGUACCAAAGGGCAAGAUGUCUGGGUGGGGGAAGUCACCCCAGCCCCUCUCUCCCCAAGCAAAUGUUGUUAAAGCACACAUCCCUAUAGGGUUUUUGCUCUGCACCUCUUAAAACUGCCACUCAGAUUUGCGAAAAUCCUCUACGGAGAGUGCUUCAAUUAAUAAAUUAUGGUUACUGGAACAGCCCUGAUCAUAGCCCAGUGGAAUAGCUCAAGGGAUUCUAAAGCACUGUUCCAACAUCAAUAUUUAGAGAGAGCAAGAGAAAACGCCCUACUCAAAUAGAAGAUGAAUAAUACGCACAACACUUUAAAAAACACUGAUAGAAUGGACUCACGCAAUAAAAGAUUGACUCUUUUUUUAACUGC